UGGCCACCCUUGCAGACAGAGACCCCAGGAUGGCCGGCCAGGACGUAGCCGUCUUCGCAGAAAUGCUGCACCAUGGAGCCAGCCUUAAACCCGCCGCUGCCCAGAGACAGCGUGCACGCCAAGGACGCACACCUGCCGGGCUGCGUGAUCGGACUACAACUCCCGUGAUCCACCAGAGCCAGGAUCUCCCAUUUUUCACCACCUCCAGUCUCCAAGAAUGGACGCCACGUUGCAUCAUGGGAAGCGUAGUCUAACUGGCCUAUAGAGGCGAACAGGGGCAGGGGACACCCAGACUACAACUCCCAUGAGGGGCCACAGCAGCCUGGCCAAAUGCAAAUAUUCUGCUUUUCAGGCACUCAGUUCUUCAGUUUAAAAAAAUCCAGUUUUCCAGGGGGAAGCAGAUGAUUUUUUUGCCAGUAAAUUGUUGAAUACCCAAUAGUCGAAUAUCCGAUUUUCCGUCAAAACCAUUUUGAUGGGAAGGUUUCACCCAGGAGGGAUGGGAAAGGCAGCCAAGCGGGUUUGGAAGGCGAGCACCAGCCAGUACCUUUCCUCCGGAGGACAGCACCAGAGCCGCAGAGCGUCGCGAAGAACAGAGCCGUGGGGAGGUAACACGAGGGCCGGCGCAGCCUGGGACAUCCCGGAGCCUUUGCCAUCUCACCGGUAGCCUCUGCCCAGAGCUGCAGAACCAGCUGCAAUAAGCCGACACGUUACCAUCCUGUAGGACUUGAUAACCCAUCUUACAAACGCUGAGUAGGGCAGGGCUGGCUCUCAGCCUGUGCCAGGGCAGCACGUAGCCCGCUGGGGCCCCACUGGACGUUCAACCCUCUCAGACACAGCCCCCGGGAGCGGUUACCGACACCAUCCAGUCCAGGAAGAGCCAGGUUGGACCACCUGGAGAUCAGAGGCUGGAGGCUUCCACCCGCGGCCCCUGCGCGGUGAGCCCAGGGCUCCAGCCCCCAGAAAGCCAGCCGGGCCCAGCUCCUGGUUUCCAUUGAAAUCAGUGAAUAUUCAGAGGCUCGAGGGGUCUGGGCCCCAGCCUGGAUUCGACGAGGUCAAGAGACGGAGAACGGAGCACGUCCCUCGGGAGCUCGGUUAAAAAUCGGUGCCUUCGUUCUAACUGGACUCUGGCUUUGACUUCCAGCCCAGGGCUCCGACUUGCUCCACCGGCUUGAAAGUGCCUUGGAGCGGCUGACGCCUUCUCCCCAGGAAGGUACGUCACAUAUCGAGAGCAAGCACCGGGCAGAGCCCCCCCCCCGCCGUCUAACCACCCCAGCUCUAGCCCCCACAGCACGUGAACCUGCACAUACGUCCCCCCUCUCCCCAAAGAAACCACACAAGGCCAGCGUUUCGUUUUCCUCCCAAAAAAGAAAGCCUGUAAUUGUCACACUAACCUCAAAACUGUUCGAAAAGUUUUGCCUGGCUGAGGCCCACAAAAAAAGUCCCCAAACCCCAAACUCACAGCACAAGAUCCAAUUCUUUUUUUAUACAAGUCAGUCCCUGGCUGAAUCAGCCCCCCCCCCCAUCAGGAAUACUGUAGUGUUACAAAAUGACAAUAUAAAUAGCUUCUUUAAAAAAAAAUAGUAACAAGAAAACAAAUCAGUAGUUGUUUCUCGACAGAGUUCACCGGUUCUUUGCAUCGCCUUUGAGCUGCCUUGACAGGCCCCCUCCCACCAGGCUCUCAGAGGAUUGCAGCCCUGGGCAGCUUGCUGUGGAAGUUGGGAUGCGGGGGGAACUAGUGUCUUACACCGCAGCGGACCAGCCUGUGCUGAUUGUCACAAGCCCACCGUUGGCGUGCGAUGACGUAGCGGGGGGAAGCAGGACCGCUCGGUCAUUCCGUGAGCAAACCACCGCCGCCGGGGUUUCCCCCACAGCAGCAGGUGCCGGGGGAGCGAGCGAUUCAGAAAAGGGAGAGCAGCUCUUCAGCCAGGGGCGAAGCAGCCCAGCGCCAGGGGUCGCCCGCAGAAGCGGCGAGCGAACGGUGUAAAUUGGCCGAGCUGCAGCCUGCGAUGGGGCCGCAGGGAUCGACAGCAGCUGAGGAGCGGGCCCCGGGCGUGAGGCUGAUUUCACCAGCUGGGGAGUUGGAGCAGAUGCUGCUACAGUGGUGUCAGCUGGGAAUAAAGCUCGUGCCAGUGGAAGGAUAAUGCCUCCCUCUGCUCCCUGUGCCCCCUGGGAACGCUCGACCCCACGCCCCAGCUCCCAUAUGCUUCAAGGAGACCCCGGAUCCUGAGCCAGCCCAGAGGCAUGUUGAGUGGCAGGCUGGGGGCUCAGCCGCCAUUGCCAAGUGACCCACAAAGCCCUUCUGCUCCAGUCCGUGAGCCGUAAAGGGUCCGCCCCAGCUCAUGUGCUCCCCGGGAGGCUCAGGGAGAGGUUCGGGGGUCUGAGCAGUAGAGGAUGGGGCUCAGAGGGUAUCCAGUAACACACCGGGACUGGGUGAAGUAAGAGACCGGAGAAGGUCUGUGUAAUUGAUCUGAAACCCCAAUGAAAAUAAAUGUUGGUUAAAAACUUUCCCGUAUGGGGAGAUCAGGGGAUGGGUUACGAGGCGGAGGAGGAAUUCAGAGCUGGCUGAUGUGGUUUAUGUCAGAACGGAACAUGGGCGUGAGAAGCGGCGAGGCCGGGUGUACUGUACAGCACGGGACAGCCUCACACCCACAGGCUUCGCUGCAAUUUCAGCGGGCUGAGAAACGGCAGGAGGUUAAAAAACGACGUGUCAAGAGCUGAGAAAAACUGCAGGAGCCCAGCCAGGAGUCAGACAAAGGGCUCGGGCUGAGAAGGGAGGGCCUAGGCACAGCACAGUGCCCGAGGGGCUGUACUGAACGAGACACACCCCCACACCGUAAACACGUCGGGGUGUAGCGCUGGGUUUGGGUGACAGAGAGCUUUGCAUCAUGGCCAGUCGUGGGUGGGUAUGAAUACACACAUCCUGGUCAUGCUGCCGGGCACUUCAUGGGUGUUUUAGUGAUCUAGUUUAUGUUUAAAAACGCUAAGGCCUAAUAGAAAAAGAGCAUGAAAUAGACCUUCCCGGUCACCCUACGCAGCCAUAACGUGUCACGAAUUCGGACAACUCAGCAUGCAGCACUGGCUCAAUCCUGCUCUCCCUAAAAUCCCCGGUAAGACACUGGAUCCGUAAGAGCAGAAUUCAGCCAGCGUGGGGUGCUCUGGAAGAUCUUACGCAUUAGCCAACCUUCAGCAUGCCCGUGGCUGGCUCCUAACUGGACCGACUUCCGCUCUGCCCAUCGCUUGCACCCCAGUGAGUUCAGUGGAGCCAAUUCCCGAUUGCCACCCAGGGAAGGGUUAGGUCCAGCACAUAAAAAUACCUAAUUGGACCCAGCUCCCGCCCCCCUUCCCCCUGUCAAUCUCUAGAGGCAGGCUGCCCUGUAGUUCUCUCUGUUGUAACAAGCAGCACGACUGACGUGCAGUUCUGCAGACAAGAAUCCAGUGGCCAGGCAAACCAGAUAAAAUAACCGCAAACAAUCCCCUUGUGUCUGUAACCAGCCCACUCCUGCUGCACGAGGGGGGCUCC